AGUGGAAUGGCUGGGUCAUAUGGUUGGUAGGUUUAUGUUUAACUUUUAAAGAAACUGCCAAAUUGUCUUCCAAAGUUGCCGUACCAUUUUAUAUUCUCUUUAGCAAU
rnacentral:pre_miRNA from 2 species